rnacentral:rRNA from 1 species
UAAAGGCAUGGUCCUGACCUUAUUAUCAGCUCUUACCCGACUUACACAUGCAAGUCUCCGCAAUCCCGUGAGUAUGCCCUCAAUCCCCCGCCCGGGGACGAGGAGCGGGCAUCAGGCACAAAUUUUAGCCCAAGACGCCUGGCCAAGCCACACCCCCAAGGGAAUUCAGCAGUGAUAAACAUUAAGCCAUAAGUGAAAACUUGACUCAGUCAGGGUUAAGAGGGCCGGUAAAACUCGUGCCAGCCACCGCGGUUAAACGAGAGGCCCUAGUUGAUAAAACCACGGCGUAAAGGGUGGUUAAGGAAAGCAAAACAAAUUAAAGCCAAAUGGCCCUUUGGCCGUCAUACGCUUCUAGGUGUCCGAAGCCCAAUUAUACGAAAGUAGCUUUAUAAAGCCCACC